GGGCCUUUUUAUGAAUGGCUUACUCAAAGGCAAUGUUGUGCCCCUAGGAAAUGCUGUGUGGUGCCACAAGUAUAUCCAGAAGAAUCCAAUAUCAUCACGUGGUGGAGGUUCAUCACAUAAAGGCCAAAGCCGCUUUCCACACAUUGUUGCCCUGUGGCUGAACAGAUGGAGAGAAAAACAUAGCCUACCCAGGCAGAGGAAGGAGGUCUCUGUGGCAGCUCCCCACGUGAACCACUCAAACUGUAGGAGGGAAUAUCACUCAUGAUCUGCCCAGUCUUCAUCAGCGCGCUCAGUAUUAGAGGAUAUUGCUGCAAUCAGCCUGUCAGCCACAUCCCCUUGGUAAACUGCUGAGGAAAACUAACCUUAACAACUUAUUUAUAGACCAGUUUGUUGGUGAGAUGACUGCAACCACUUUCCCUUGGUCUAUUCACCUGUUUUCCUCAGAAACGAAAGCUUACAUUAACGGCAACUGCCUUCCUGAGACAAUUCUGGACUUUGUUUUGUGUUUUCUUUAACUUUCGCAACUCAGAAAUACUUUCAGCUGUAGCAUGCAACAGUUCUGGAUGUGAGCAGUUCUUGUAACAUUACCUUAGAUCCUUAAAAAGGUGCCACAACCGAAAUGAUUCCUCUUGUAAUAAAGUAGCAUUGGAUAAUCAAAGGUGCUGACAUAUCUCUAAAUCUCGGUGACCAAUUAAUUCUGACAAUACCUCCUUAAAAGAAACAACAUUUGCGAGAGAGGAACCUCUGCCAAAGUCUAAACCAUCACUUCCAGCUUUUACAGAUGCUAUGAUAGAGCUGUUUACAUUUAUUUUCCAACAGGAAGCUUUUGAAUGUAAGGGGUGCAACAGCACUUACAAUAAAUACUGUGGGAGAGUGACUCAACCUCAACAAAAAUCCAAUUCUAUUACUCUAUUCUGAGAGUUUGUCAGACUAGGAAAAUCUAGAUAUGGAUUCCCAAUAUGUCUUCUUGUCUAGGGAUGUAGUAUAUACAGAACUAGAAACAUGAAAGCAAACUCUCCAUUUUGUAAUGCUACUGCCAUGAUAUAUGGAACAUAACCUUAAUAUAAUCAGGACUACAUACUGUAGGUGACCUCCCAGUUAAACGCAUACACAUACAAAAAAACACUGUAUUUCAAAAUCCAGCAACAGGGGUGCCCUUACAUGUUCAUAAUCCUUUACAAUCACCACAUGUUCUUUCCAUUUUCAGAUUCCUUCCCACAUCAGUAAAAUCUGUAAUUUUGCAAUCCAAGGCCUUUGGAAUCAGCAAAGAGAUCAAAUCUGUUCAUUCAUUGUGCAGUUCCAUUAUGAUCAGAGUGAGGCAUUCAGAAAAAUAAGAUGAAGAACAAUCCUUUACAAUGCUGUAUUCACCAGAAGUCUCAUUAGGGUGUUUCCUUAAAAGAUUAUGACACCAUUUGUCAUCCUUUCCUUAAGGUUUGCUAAAUCUCACUGUCUGCUGCACAGUAACCACAAAACAUUGCCUGGGUGUAUAUAUUUGCUGACGGUAUUCUUUACAUACAGAUUAACCUAAGUUUGCUUCCACAUAUUAUAUCAUAAAAAGUGUUAAAAUUUAAAAAAAGGAUAUAGAAAAAUACAGCAGAAAAUGCAAUGCAUAUUGCAAACCUUUUUUAACACAUUUUAGAAAUUAAAUAUUACUGUUUGCACAGUAUGUAAAGUCUCAAGUGUUUAUGACAUUUAGAAUUUUUACUUGAUUUAAUAGUUUCAGGAAACUUCUACCUAUUUAAAAAAAAGAUUUGUCCAAUCUUCUUCUUCUCUUACAAUAAUCAGCCCCACUGUUGCAAAGGUUUUUGGGAUGAGGCAGACAUCUCUCAUAUGAUCUCAUUUACUUUUCUUGCAACCCAUUUAGAUAAAACUAGCAACACUGUUGCCCCCUGUGAAGUCUGACACAAUUGCACACAAUAACCUCUAUAACUGGCACAAGGACAGUGUUCAACAAACUCAGAAGAUAUUGUAUUCACCAGUAAGUACAAAAUUGACUACAAAUAUUUAUUGUGGUUAAUAAUAAUAGUGGAUAUCCUUGUUUCAGUUAGAGGAUGCUAGUUUUCACAUCCGCAACCGUAUAAUUGUAAUAACUGUAAAAAAGGUGUAAUUGUCCAGGAUCUCAAAGAAACAUCUGCCCAGAAGUGUCAUUGUUUUUCUCUUGCUGAUGCUCUGAGGCGUGGGUGUCAGUUCUAAACUUUCUGUUAGUCCCAGACCUGCCUCACAGCAAAUUAGCAGCAGUACAUUGUAGAACACACAUUAUCUUAUGUAACCUCCCUCCCCUAUCUCCAGAUUAUAUGUAGAUGGCUAAAGAGCUGAAGUGUGCUGAUUUUGAUCAGUCUUUCUGCCAGAGAAGGACCUAUGACACGCAAUAUCAAGGACACCUAGAAUUAAAUUAGUUGCUUUUCUGUAAAGGAUAAGUCAUUGCUAAUUAUAAUGAAGCAGGGUCCGAUGUUAGAAUGAAAGGAGGAACAUGUUUUCAUCUAAAUUAAAUUUGGCAAAAUAUCUUGAACUCAAGCUUAGAGAUUUCCAGAAUAAUUUCCUAGUAUGAUACAUAUUGAGUUCGUAUUGAGAGGUGAUGAAAAAAUCUGAAAUGCCUCUAAAUAUGAACCUGGGACUUUUUGUAGCUUUAUAGGACAAAUCCUAAACCUUGAAUGAUUUAAAAUACUAUAAGAAUGACCACAAAACUUACGUCAUCUAGCUGUGUUGUACACAUGGUGACUAUUGUAGUGAUGCUUAACUGUGAACCUGUAACAUUUCAACCCCUUAUAUACUGUAGAUUUAUUAACAAUGCACAGCAGUUAAAAUAUUGAUAUAGAUCACUGCAAUGUUAUGGUGAAAUCACUUUAUUGCAUUUCACUGUGCUGCUGUGUUUUUAAACACUUUAUACAUGAAAGAAUGCCAGGAUGCCAAAACAUAAGGAUAUAAAACAAUUCACAAAAUACACAUUUUCCAGAAAUAAAACCUGUCCCAGGGAUCACCCCCCCUUUCCCAGAACCAUACUGUGCAUUUACCCCAGUGUGCCAUAAAUCAACAAGGAACUGCUGCAAAUUGCAAAUCAUGUCUUAAUACAAGCACUGGGGAACAUGCAGCUGAAAUCAUGGCUUUCAAUGGCACACACACUGGCCAAUAGUAGACCUAACAUGCUGUCCCACACAGCUUGGAAAAUGGAAACAUCUGCCUAGAUAAGUUACAGUUCCUUAUCACAGUACAGCUUGCACACUUAAAGUUACAUUUUCAUUUAUUAGUCACUGAUGACUAAAUGAUCCACCUACGUGUCAAUUAGGAAUGAAAAUCAAAAAUUGUAUAAUUCUUAAGUAUUGUGCACCUGUGGGAAAUCUUAUUGAAAAACUGUGCCACACCAUUACUUUGAUGUAUGCAGUGCCUUUGUGGACUUUUAUGAAGCUCUCCUGUGUCUGAUGUGAGUCACAGCUCCUUGGCAUUAUUGUGGAUUUGUCGGUCUUGGCCUGGAAAUGUGAAAAUAGCAGGACCACUUAGAAGGUACUUAGCAAGAUAUGAGGCAAUGCCCAUUAUAACAGCACACCCUGCCUUAUAACUUCCCAGUUCCCUUUUCAAUAUGGAUUAUUGCUGCUUUUUUAAUACUUUGAAAAACACAUGUCCUGUAAAGUUUACUUGGCAUCAUGCAGUAUGGCUAAUCCUGCGUUGGCAUUCAGUGAAAAAUCAUGCAGUUAAUAGCAGGUAGGGCAUCCACUUGAUCCUGAAAUCCUGAAAACAAGAUAUUGUUUUAUGAAGCUAGUCUUGAAGAAUUUGCUGCAUGAUACCUGUAUAUAUCCACUGGUUUCCAGGUUUUUAACUGUGAAGCAUAUCAAAAGGGUGCUGCUUAAAAAAAGAAAACAAAAGAAUGCUGUGAAGUGACACAGGAAAAAGUGAAACCUAAUGGAAUUAGCUGAGAAUGACAUGAAUUAGUUCAGACCUAAGGUAAAUUGUAUGAUUGACUCCUCUCAUCUCUAAGCUCUUUAGGCAUCUCAAGCGUUUGCAUUCUCAGACUGAUACACACCCAUCCAGCUGUGCACCCUGGGACUCAUCCAUACUUAAAAAUCACCUUUCCUCUGCAUUGCUUUUUGCACUUAACCACUGACCACUGCAGGUUUCUCCAUUGAUUUUAUAGGACUUUUACAACACCACAGGCACAUUGUAAGGUCUUACAAUGUGAGGACUGCCUGAGUGCAAACCACUAACAGGACCUGUUUCUCCAUCUCCCUUAGGCAAUGGAGAGACAAGACUUUUUUUAUUCUCUUAUUCUAUCUUCUUAUCCCUUCUUGAAAAAAUAAAAAUGAAACCUUUUCACUUCUGGCACACAAGACUAUACCACCUAUUAGAGAAUUAACUUAUUGAGAAUUAAAUUAUCAGGCUAUUAGCUGUAAGUGAUUACGACAAA
rnacentral:lncRNA from 1 species